rnacentral:rRNA from 1 species
GAUGAACGCUGGCGGCGUGCUUAACACAUGCAAGUCGAACGAUGAAGCUCAGCUUGCUGGGUGGAUUAGUGGCGAACGGGUGAGUAACACGUGAGUAACCUGUCCUUAACUCUGGGAUAAGCCUGGGAAACUAGGUCUAAUACCGGAUAGGAGCGCCUACCGCAUGGUGGGUGUUGGAAAGAUUUAUCGGUUUUGGAUGGACUCGCGGCCUAUCAGCUUGUUGGUGGGGUAUUGGCUCACCAAGGCGACGACGGGUAGCCGGCCUGAGAGGGUGACCGGCCACACUGGGACUGAGACACGGCCCAGACUCCUACGGGAGGCAGCAGUGGGGAAUAUUGCACAAUGGGCGAAAGCCUGAUGCAGCGACGCCGCGUGAGGGAUGACGGCCUUCGGGUUGUAAACCUCUUUCAGUAGGGAAGAAGCGAAAGUGACGGUACCUGCAGAAGAAGCACCGGCUAACUACGUG